rnacentral:pre_miRNA from 1 species
ACAACAACAUUCGGACCGUCGGUCUACCGAGCAAUAUCACCGGCUCGGUGGAAGAUCUUCCUUUCGUCGUCAGC